GUGAGGAAUUUUCCGCAAUGGGCGAAAGCCUGACGGAGCAAUGCCGCGUGAAGGAUGAAGGCCUAUGGGUUGUAAACUUCUUUUCUUAGAGAAGAAUAUUGACGGUAUCUGAGGAAUAAGCAUCGGCUAACUCUGUGCCAGCAGCCGCGGUAAGACAGAGGAUGCAAGCGUUAUCCGGAAUGAUUGGGCGUAAAGCGUCUGUAGGUGGCUUCAAAAGUCUCCUGUCAAACAUCAGGGCUUAACCCUGGGCCGGCAGGAGAAACUCUGAGGCUAGAGUUUGGUAGGGGCAGAGGGAAUGCCCGGUGGAGCGGUGAAAUGCGUAGAGAUCGGGAGGAACACCAAAGGCGAAAGCACUCUGCUGGGCCACAACUGACACUGAGAGACGAAAGCGAGGGGAGCAAAAGGGAUUAGAAACCCCAGUAGUCC
rnacentral:rRNA from 1 species